CAGCCAUGCUUGUAGUAUGUGGUGUGGACACUUCCUUCUUGAAGCGUUUCCAUGCAUCGUAUUGAGACUCCCCUUCAUAUUGUUUAAAAUUGGAGAUUUCUUGCCUGAGCUG
rfam:Gossypium raimondii Chr05_contig_481, whole genome shotgun sequence.